UACAUAAAGGAAAGAGGUUUAAUUGACUCACAGUUCAGCAUGCCUGGGGAGGCCUUACAAUCAUGGCAGAAAGCAAAGGGGAAGCAAGACACGUCUUACACGGCAGCAGGCAAGAGAAAGCUUGUACAGGGAACUCCCCUUUGUAAAACCAUCAGAUUUCGUGAGACUUAUUCACUAGCACGAGAACAGCACAGGAAAGACCCGAGCCCAUGAUUCAGUUACUUCCUACCGGGCCCCUCCCAUGGCACGUGGGAACUAUGGGAGCUACAAUUCAAGAUGAGAUUUGGGUGAGGACACAGCCAAACCAUAUUACCUGACUUUUUUUUCUCUUGGUUGGUGGAUACAUUUUUUGAAAUUGAGGUGAAUUUAAAGUGAAUAUUUCAGUAGCAUUUAUUACAUUCACAAAGUUGUAAAACUAUUGCCUCUAUCUAGUUUCAAAACACUUUUAUCACUCCAGAAAGAAACCUCAUAUACAUUAAGCAGUUGCUCCUCAUUUUCCCUUCAAACCCUACCAUCCCCAGCCCAUAGCAACCACCAACGUACAUUCUGUCUAUGAAUUUACCAGUUCUGGAUAUUUCAUGUAAAUGGAAACAUACAACAUAUAGCGUUUUGUGUCUGGCUACUUUCAUGUAGCAUAAUGUUUUUGAGGUUCAUCCACAUUGUAGCAGGUAUCAGCACUUCAUUACUUUUUAUGGCUUAAUAAUAUUCCACUGUAUCAAUAUACCACAAUUUAUCCAUUCACCAAUUGAUAAACAUUUGAGCUGUCUUCACCUUUUGGCUACUGGGAAUAGUGCCACUGUGAACAUGAUAUGCAUAUGUAUUUAUUUGAGGACCUGUUUUCAAUUAUUUUGGAUAUAUACCUAGCUCUAGAAUUGCUGGGUCUUUUUGUAAUUCUAUAAUUAACUUUUUCAAGAACCUCUGAACUGUUUUCCAGAGGUUGAACCAUUUUACGUUCCCACUAGCAAUGAACAGGGUUCCAAUUUCUUCAUAUCUUCACCAACACUUAUUUUCCUUCCCCUAGCCCUAAUUAUAGCCAUCCUAGUGGGUGUAAAGGGGUACCUCAUUGAGGUUUUUAUUUACAUUUACCUAAUGACUAACUACUAAUGAUGUUGCAUACCUUUUCAUGUGCUUGUUGGUGAUUUAUAUCUUGUUUGGAGAAAUGUCUGUUCAAGUCUUUUGCCCCUUUAAAAAAUAAAUUAUUUGUCAUUUUAUUGUUGAAUGAUAAGAUAACUUUAUACAUUCUGGAUGCUAGAGUCUUAUGAGGUAUUUGAUUUUUAAGUAUUUUCUCUCAUUAUGUAUGUUGUCUUUUCACUUUCUUGAUACUGUCCUUUGAUGCAGAAAAGUUUUGUUAAUUUUUAUGAAGUCCAGUUUUGGUUUUGCUUUUGUUGUUAUGCUUUUGGCAUCAUAUAUAAGAAACUGUUGAUCUAUCCCUAGGUUUUCUCCUAAAAGUUUAUGGUCUUAGCUCAUAUCUUUUGGUUGUCAAUUCAUUUUGAGUAAAUGUUUGUAUAUGUUGAGAGGGAAGGAUCCAGAUUCAUUCUUUUGCAUGUGGAUAUCUAGUUUGUCUAAUCACCAUUUAUUAAAGAGACUACUCUUUUCCUAAGACCAUUGAAUGAUCUUUGCAUCCUCCUGACUUUCUUUUUGAUUUUUUUUUCUUUUUGGGUAUUCCACUUUGUCUUUACUGUUGGCUUAUUAGAAAUACCUCUUUGUUUUAUUUAUUUAUUUAUUUAUUUAUUUACAGGGAUUGCUCUAGGUUUUACGACAUGCAUCUUUAAUUUUUCUUAGUCUACCUUUGUUAUAGUUUGAAUGUAUGUAUCCUUCCAAAAUUUAUGUUGGAACUUAAACCCCAAGGUGAUGGUAUUAAGAGGUGGGAACUUUGGGAGGUAAUUUGGAAGUGGAGAGCCGUCAUGGAUGGGAUUAGUGCCCUUAUAAAAGGGCUUAAGAGAGUUUUUUGUUGUUUGUUUUAACCCCCUUUUCCCUUCUACCACGUGAGGUCAUAGUGUUUGUUCCUUUCCCUCUGGAGCAUGCGGCAACAAAAUGCUAUCUUGGAAGCAGAGAGUGAGCCCUCACCAGAUGCCAAAUCUGCUGAUUCCUUGAUCUUAGGCUUCCCAGCCUCUAGAACGAUGAGAAAUGAAUUUUUACUAUUUAUGAAUGACCCAGUCUAUGGUAGAUUGCUAUGACAGCAGGAAGAGACUAAGACAACCUUCAGAUAAUACUAUACCACUUAAUGUGCAGUGUAAGAAUUUUAUAAGAAUAUAGUUCUAUUUCUGUUUUUCUAUCCCUUUUGUUAUUAUUUUUAUAGGUUUUAUUUCUACAUGUUAUAAACCAUGUAAUAUACGGCUAUUAGUUUUGCUUUAGAUGGUCAAUUGUGUUUUUUAUUUUUAAUUAUAUAUAUAUAUCUCUAAUGUUAUAUAUCUAACAUUAUAUAUGAUGUUAUAUCAUAUAUAUAGUGUGUGUGUAUGUAUAUGCAUAUAUAUAUAUAUAUAAAAUAGUUUGGCUUUUGGUUUUUUUUUUGAGAAAUGGUCUGGGUCUAUCACCCCGACUGGAGUGUAGUGGCAUGAUCUCAGCUCAUGCAGCCUUGACCUCCUGGGCUCAAGUGAUCAUUACACCUCAGCCACCUGAGUAGCUGGGACUAUAGGAGUGUGCUACCACACUCAGCUAUAUUUUUGUAUUUUUUGUAGAGAUAGGGUUUUGCCAUGUUGCCUAGGUUGGUCUUAAACUCUCGGGCUCAAGCAAUAUACCUGCCUCAGCCUCCGGAAGUGCUGGGAUUACAGGUGUGAGCCAUCAUACCCGGCCAAGAUCAAUUAUGUUUUAAAGGAAUUUUUUAACAGAGAAAGAAAUGUCUCAUAUUUACCCAUAUAUUUAGCAUUUCUUGUGCUCUUCAUUUCUUUGUGUAGGCCAGUGGUUUCAUCUGGUACCAUGUUCUUUCUGCCUCAGGAACUUUAUUUCGUAUUUCUUGUAUUGAAGAUCUUCUGGUUUAAAAAAAACCUUCAAGCCUUUUAUUGUCUGACAAACAUUUAUCUUACCUUCAAUUUUAAAGAAUAUUUCUGGUGGAUAUAGAAUUCUAGAUUGACAGUGCUUUCUUUUUCUUUUAUCACUUUAAAGAUGCGAUUUCAUUAAGUUCUAGUUUGCAUUAUUUCUGAAGAGAAGUCUGCAAUUAUAUCUGUCUUUGUUCCCUGUAUAAAAUGUGUCUUUUUUUCUCUCUGCUGUUAAUUUUUUCCUACUUAUUACUGGUCUUCAGUGAUUUAAUUAUGAAGUGCCUCGCUUGAUAUGGUUUGCUUUGUUCUUAUCCUACUUCGGAUU
ensembl:lncRNA